rnacentral:tRNA from 1 species
GGGGUUGUAGCUCAGUGGUAGAGCACUUGCCUGGCAUGAGAGAGGCACUGGGUUCAAUCCCCAGCACCACA